UACGUAGGGUGCAAGCGUUGUCCGGAAUUAUUGGGCGUAAAGGGCGCGUAGGCGGCUCAUCAAGUCGGGGGUGAAAUACUUCAGCUUAACUGGAGAAGUGCCUUCGAUACUGGUGGGCUUGAGGGAGGUAGGGGUCUUUGGAACGUUCUGGUGGAGCGGUGAAAUGCGUUGAUAUCAGAAGGAACGCCGGUGGCGAAAGCGAAGGACUGGACCUCUUCUGACG
rnacentral:rRNA from 1 species